rnacentral:lncRNA from 1 species
GGACGGGUGUCUCCGGUGUCUCGACAUCCUCACUUUCUCAGCUGGGACCGCCUAGCCUGUACCCGCAUUUGCCAGGACCCACAUGGACUAUCCUCAGGAAAAUGAGAUCCAGGAAGAGUGACGCCCUCCUCGAACUGAAAGAUACUCAGGUUGAUGGAGUCAGGGACGAAGUGGCUUAUCAACAACACAGGAUGUCUGCAGGGAACAGAACUUAUUCAGACAUGGCCCAGAUUGUCUGCCCGUGGGGACUGAGGGACCUCUGAGGGUUACAUCAGGAAGGAAGGAGAGGCUGUUUCUACAGGUGCCACAGAAAAAUCGAUGCUGAGCCUCGGAUUAUUGGAUCCCAUAGAACCGUGGAGACUUGGCAGUGAAAUUCUUCCAAAGGCAGAGGUUUUCCUGGUUUGGGAAGUAUAAAUCCCGUGGGAAGUCAACUGGAGGACAUUUUACGCGUCACUCAUCCUAUUAUGAGCCUGCUGCUCCUCCGUCUCUUGACAAGCUGUCUGAGAUGCCAACACCACAGAGCACAAUAUCUUUGAGUUGGAAACAUGUCAUUUGCUUGCGUCUCGUCAUCCUUUGGGGUUUUUCUAGACUCCCUGCCUCUUCUGUUUCUCGUCGAUGCUUCCAUUGUAUUCCAGUUGGCAGCUAAAGGACAGGAGCAGCAAUAAGGCUUCCUGGCUACAUUUUCAUGGUGCCACCAACUGCGAGUUAAGCUGACAAACAUUUUGAGAGCUCGGCCCAUUUCAUUCCCAGCAGGAUGGCAGGAGUUAACUAAAACAGAAUAAACUAAAAAUUGUGCCUUCAUUGCACAUUUGCACUGAUUAUCAGCACUGAAAAUGGCUAAGUUCUGCUUAUCAAGAGCGGGUGACUGAUUGUCCCUGCCAGCUGGCUAAUAUCAUAAUUAGCAAAGUUGCUACCACAUCUGCAAAGUUUAAUCGAAAAAUUUACCAGUGGUAUGAUGGCAUUGUCACCGCGAUCCUGAGGGAAUCAGAGUCGACUUCUGCUUCAACUGGAAUGGCAAGGCUGUAGAGCUGAGAUGAGAAACUGUAAACUUGCUCAGCCAAAGGAAAUAAUAUGCUCCAGAGAAUCCUCUAAUUCACCGAAAAUGGACUUGGAUAACAUUUGGGUUCUCAUACUACCACAGUCCUCUUGAGAAGGACAGCCAGGCUUGGGUGGCAGUGGUGAGGAAGGUUCCUUUCUGUCAAGGGAGCUGAUGCCUUAAAGAAGCUAUCUCCAGAUAAAGGGAGAUCUAAGGAAGGAAGCCAACGAAAGACACCAUGUACCAGAAAGCCAAGCAGGAUUUUGACAUUUAUAACCAUAAUCUCUAUAAACAAGAUGAAUUAUGGCUGGGGAUUCAGUUAGUAAAUCAACGAAAAUAAAUCCUGGUAAGUGCAUAAUUCAAAGAUAACCCAAAUAAGAACAGAAAGUUGUGUGUCAUAGUCACUGGCAUCUAUCCGGUGCUUCUGAACCAUGAACCACAUGACCUGAUUAAAGAGGUUGCUGUGAGUGUGUUGUACUCUUCGUGAACUAAAUUCCAUGAUGACAGAAAACAAACCUGAAAACAAGAGUUAUUUCACAACUCUAGAGCUCCACAGAGUCGGCUGCAAUUGGUUGAGUUGAGGUGAAUUUUCAGUGGACCUGGAUCAGUGUAGAAGGGCAGGAACAUUGGCCCAGCACAGCCCCAGGCUGUGCAGCAUUCAAUGUGACUUGGGACUGGCCUUCCUGGCUCUGCCUUGCCGGUGAAACAUGGAUUGGAAGCUUUGAAUGUUGGAAGAAAUAAACAAGUCUUGGUUGGAGUCCCAGUUUCAAUAACCACAUAUUUUCAAACCUAGACAAAUAUUCUGGUCUCAUCUCCUCAUUUGGAUUACUUCAAUCCUCGGAGAGAACGGAAUAGGACUCUGUAUUUCUUUGGAUGUUCAACACAGUGUUUAACUAAUGGGUGCUAUUUGAAAUAUUAUCGUCUAUUAUCAUUGCUAUUCUAAUAAGGAUGAUACUUGCUAUAAAUAUUAUUGAGAAAAAAAACUUGGAAGUGUUCUUGAGCAACAUAAACAGUACAAAAUGACAGAUAUUAAACACCGUUCUUUUUUGCACGUAAAACUAUACAAAUAAAAAUAUAGAAAAGCUUGCA